rnacentral:misc_RNA from 1 species
CAGCAAACAAAGACAAACUAUAAAAUUCAUGUUCUUUAAACAUCAUUUCAUAUCAUCAAAUCAUCUUUUGCUUUACAUAGUAUAUCACUAUAUGCAUCAAGUGAAUUCCUUUUGGUUAGGAUAAAUGAUAUUCCAGAGCCCAAGCAGUUAAGUUUAUUUAAGUUAUUUUGUGACCCUUAUAUCCUUAAUUUUAAAACGCAUAUUGGGAAAUGACCUAUGUUUUAUUUGGCUUAUAUUUGCUUCUUUGAAGAAACAUUGUAAACCUGGUAAUGGUCAGAAACUGUUUGAAAUCUGGCAAAACAUUUAAACCAAAUAUUGUAAACGCAUUAUAUUUACUGGCAUAUUGUUGAAAUUAAACUGUAAUAUGAAUUUAAUAUCUGCCACAUGAAGUGUUAAGAAUCAUCACCAUUUUUGUUUGUUUUUGUACUAGUCUUGCAUAUAAACAUCUGCUGUUUGAUAAUCUUCAACACUAUUUAAUAAAAUAAAUGCAUAACACAUCU